ACCUUCGGGUGGAUGAGGAAAUGCCAAAGUUGUGUCUUCCAAAGCUCUAGCAAAAACACGACAGUCAUUCGCAUUGCCUUUCCAACCCGCAUAUACGAAUGUGAAUUUCAUGUCAAACGAACAUGCACACAUUACAUUUUGGGUUGUUAUCCCUUUUCGACCUCGAUAUGGAAUCUGCUUGCCCUUAGGGACUAUAGCUGUGAUAUGGGUACUAUCUAUGGCACCAAUGCAAUCCUAAUUAAAAUAAUAC